GCUGUGUGUCUCAAAUUGUUAAAGAUAGUAUUGGUAGCAACUGGCGAGUUAAAAUUUUAGUUGGAACACUAUAGGUCUAUUAUGGAUAUUGAGAAGGUCACUGAAAGGUACCGACUUUUCCAGGUCAAAGUAUAGCUCCAUUGUUUCAUGGUGCAAAAAAUCUGCUUUAAUAUGACGUACAUAAAAAAAUAAGCGAAAAACGAUACGAUAAAAAUCACAUUAGAAAGCUUUAAAUCUAAAUUUAACAAGGUACAGUUUGUUUCUGGCUUUUUUUGUGUCGGUUAAAAUGUCUCAACACAAUGACGGAAUGUUUCUUAUUGUAAUUCAACAAAGAAAACUUUUGUAACUGUUAAGUUUUAAUGAAUAGUAAUGACAGACUCUAGGCAAGAAGUCGAAUCAACACUUUACAAUACAAGACAAAAUAACAUCAACACUUUAGUGUGAUUAAGUGGGAAAUGACAGUGUAUCGGGUAACAUGUUAGUUUGAGGUCACAUGCCGCGAUCAUUCUUGUUUUGAGAGGUUCAACAAUAAAAAUUGUGGGAUCACAAACUAAAAUAUUUCUGAGGACAUUAUUUCACAUGAGGGGCUAUUAUAACGUGAAAACAUUUAGGUAGUUGCUCUGUGGAAAUCUGUAAUUCAUUUUAAAUCGAAUCGAUCAAAAUUUGCCGUUACAAUCGGGGACAGUCAUUAUUCAAAUUUUUACACCAGAUUCAAUGUUAUUAAGUGUGAACAUCCCUUAAUGUUGUACUAUUGGGUUGUGAAGAUUCAAAAUAUUUAGCUGAAAAUUAAUUAAAUUCCCCAAAU
rnacentral:lncRNA from 1 species